ensembl:lncRNA
GGUCGUAGCUAUAGAAGCCUCCUCUGAGCUAUUCUGCUUACAUUCUGUGACCCGGCUUACUUGGAAGUGUGGGCCUUAGUUUUGCGCCAAGUUACGUGAACUGAAGUGCUGCUGUUUUGCCUUGCUGUGCUUUUACCGUCUGUUCCCGUUGUGAGAAUUCUUCCCUGCUGCUGUCAGCUUUUACAGUGGACGUCGGCGUGGACAACGGCCAUAUGCAUGCCGGUUAUCGGAGUCAGCUGGCGUGCAUAUUGAUUGACUGUUAACUUAUCGUCGUGUGGACGGCAAGUUGGAGCAGUACGGCGAUUCCGUUUGCUCCAGAUUUUAGAGUUUUAUUCAGAUUGUAUGUUGUUUUAUUGCUUUUUGAUUUGUAGUUUGGAUUCUCUGUUACACCACUGGUGGGAGGCCCUUUUUCUAGCUGUGGAUCACCAGUGUGGUCCUGCAGUUGGGUUAUCCCCCGGUGCUACACAUUAGUUUGUUGUAAUAUAUUAACAUUUUCUUUGUUUCUUUCAUUCAGAUGCGGAGUGCCGACGUGGAGGAGACUAGGGUGCCUUGGUGGUGGGAUCCCUUGAGUGUACACACCUGCCUUGUCUAGUUUAUUAGUAAUAAAGGCAAAGCAGCAGCUACUUUGGUGUGGGAUUUCACAGCUGUGUUACAGAGAUGGAGGAAGAGUUACAGGAACUCAGGGACUUGAUCGCGCAGCUGAAAGCAGACAAUGAGAGGCUGCGUCAGGAGAGGGCUGUUGGGUCAGGUACUAGUGCUACACCUUCUACUUCAACUGCAUCAUCUGUUAACCCCCCAACGGCUGGUGUCUCUGUAGCAGAGAGACUAGUUUUUGUGCCCCGUGACAGAAAGUGCCCUAUGUUUAGAGGAAAAUCAGGUAUAGGGUUGAAUGAAUGGUUGGAGGAAAUAGAAGGUUGUGCUAGAGCACGUC